UUCAUAGGAUUGCAUCUAGGUGCCCUUUCAAGGGAUAACAGGGAAUCGGGUGAAAGUCCCGAGCGGUCCCGCCACUGUAACUGAUGAAGUUCUCUUUCACGAUGUCACUCGUGUGUUCGGGGAAGGCGAAAGAGAAUGAUGACCAGGAGCCAGGAGACCUACCUAGCGUGCUGCACCCAU
rnacentral:ncRNA from 2 species